rnacentral:misc_RNA from 1 species
CUGCGAUGAUGAGAGAGACUG